UCUAAGUAUCCUCCACCCUCCCCUUGAGCUCAGUGAGUCCUUCUCACCCUGUCUCCAAGGUCUGUCUACCCUCAGCCUGGCUUCAGCUGCCAAAUCCUACCCCUCCCCAUCCCAUCUGCUUCUUCAUCCCCCAGACACAUCCUCAGAACUCUUACCUACAACAUGGGCUACGGGCUUGUUACUUGAGGUUUUAGAAGAUGAUCCUGAAGAGGAAAGAGAAAAGAAGAAGAACGAGCCGAGGCUGGCCAGGGACUCACCUCUUCCCUCUGGGGGCCGAUUACCCCGAAGUGCAGCAGGCAGAAGAGCGUGGUGCCUCCUGCGACCAGGAAGAAGGAGAAGAGGCUGAGACACAAGCACCUUCCGGAACCCUGGGAGCCCCCUGCCGUCUUGGAGAGCGCCUCCUCUGCCAGCUCCACAUCCCGGAUCAUGCUUUCAGUGCUCAUGGCGUCUUCUUCUGAAGGGCUCAAGUCCAGCUGGGAGACGGUAGAGCCCUGUGGCUGGAGCGAAGGCUCCGAAGAAGACGCUACUGGGGCUGAGGAGCAGGUGGGAGAUGCCAUCUGUGUGAGUGGAUAGCUGGUCUCCCCGGGUGAGCAGGAACACAGCCCCCUGGUAC